UGAGAUGUAGCUCAAUGGUAGAGCACUUGCCUAGUAUGUGUGAGGUCCUGGGUUCAACCCCAGCAUUCCAA
rnacentral:tRNA from 1 species